UACGUAGGGUGCGAGCGUUGUCCGGAAUUAUUGGGCGUAAAGGGCUCGUAGGCGGUCUGUCACGUCGGGAGUGAAAACUCAGGGCUUAACCCUGAGCCUGCUUCCGAUACGGGCUGACUAGAGGUAUGCAGGGGAGAACGGAAUUCCUGGUGUAGCGGUGAAAUGCGCAGAUAUCAGGAGGAACACCGGUGGCGAAGGCGGUUCUCUGGGCAUUACCUGACGCUGAGGAGCGAAAGUGUGGGGGAGCGAACAGG
rnacentral:rRNA from 1 species